AUGGAGAGGGUUGACGGAGGAGCGGGGCUGGGUGCGCGUGGGUCUGCGGCGGCGAUGCUGGGCAUGGAGAUGCACCUCGUCCACCAGCCGCAGCCGCAGAUCCACGCGGCCUCCUCGUUCCAGCAGCCGCCGGAGCACCUCCACCAUGCCAACGGCGGCGGCUUGCAGGUCCAGCACCACCAGGCCAUGCCGGUGAGGCAGCAGCACCCGCAGCCGCCGUACGCGGCUUAUGUGGCGCCGCCGUCGAGGGCGGUCAAGGCGCAUGAAGAGGAGGAGAUGGGCAACGGCGUCGGGAAUGGCGGCGGCGUCGUGCAGCAGCCGAGGGCGGGGGCGGGGGCGGGGGCGGCGGGGUGCCCGUGGUCCCGGAUGAAGUGGACGGACGCGAUGGUGCGUCUGCUCAUCGCGGCGGCGCAGCAGAAGAAGGGUAAGUGGAAGUCCGUGUCCCGGGCGAUGAUGGAGAACGGCUUCGCGGUGUCGCCGCAGCAGUGCGAGGACAAGUUCAACGACCUCAACAAGCGCUACAAGCGCGUCGUCGACCUGCUCGGCCGCGGCACGGCGUGCAAGGUGGUCGAGAACCCCGCGCUGCUCGACGCCAUGGGCGAGCUCACCGCCAAGGCCAAGGAGGAGGCGCGCAAGCUGCUCAGCUCCAAGCACCUCUUCUUCCGCGAGAUGUGCACCUACCACAACCCCCCCGGCGCCGCCGCAGCAGCCUCGCACGGCACCGACGACGGCGCGGCCUGCUUCCACCACCCGCAGCCGGCGGCAGUGCCCGGCGCUGCCAACUCGUCCGCCGGCCGCCAGGUGGUAGCGAUGGUGAAUUCCUCCACGCGUUCUGAGGACGACAGCGAGGACGACGUCCUCAGCAGCAAAGAGGCUGAAGAGGAGGAGGAGGACGACGACUACGACCUGGACGACGUGGAGGAGAAGGCGCCGGGCACCAACCGCCGCGGGGGCUGCGUCGACGACGGCAAUGGCUUCCACAACUACGGCGGGCACAAGAACAAGCGCCGUCGCGGCGAGAGCAACGCUGCGGCCGGAGAAGACGGAGAAGAGGACGGGAACAAGCACGCCCGCAGGAGGCCGUGCGCCAUGCAGCAGCUGCAGCGCGAGCUGGCCGCGGCGGAGGCCGGCGGCGACCAGCAGCAGCUGCGGCAGUGGAUGCAGCGGCGCGCGCUGGAGCUGGAGAAGCAGAAGCUGGCGUACGAGGUCCGCGAGUACGCGCUGGAGAAGCAGCGCCACAAGUGGGAGCAGUUCAAGGCCACCAAGGAGUGGGACAUGGAGCACGAGCGGCUGCGGAUCGAGCGCCGGCGCGUCGACGGCCAGCGCAUGCUGCUCGUGCUCAAGCAGAAGGAGUUCGACCUGGACCUCGCCGAGGCCUACAACAACUACUCGUCGUCCGUGGACCACCACCCGGGCGCCCAGACCCCGCCGCCCGCCGGCUUCCAGCAGCAGCCGGGCUCCAGCCCCUCCACCACAGGGCACCCCAACUAG
rnacentral:rRNA from 1 species